GAAGGUGGAGCUGUAUAGUCAAGUGUCCAGGCCCUGGUAUCCCAACCCUGCCCUCAGGGCGUCUGACGUCAUCUACGAUAACCUGGGGGACCUCUGAUGCACUUUCUGUCUGCCUAACACACACACACCCCUUCACACACACAUACCCCUUCACACACACACAUACCCCUUCACACACACACACCCAUUCAAACAUACACACACCCCUUCACACACACACACACACCCCCCACCCCAAACGACAGCAUUUGUCCCUCCCACCAGCCACUUCAGCAGUCACAUGACCUAUUGGUCAAGACAUUGAUUGGACAGUCUCCUUUUGGAUAAUACUUCUUGAAAUCAGCUCUUGGACAGAACUUUUAAUAGUGAACUGAAUACAUGAUUUUGAUUAUAUAGUGGGUUGCCAUGGCAAACCAACACACAACCAGGCAUAUCUCAGGACUCAAUGGAAGACACUCCCCUGUUGCAUCUUGGGACUUGUAGUCCAAUGGCUGGCCUCCAGACCACCCUGUGCUUCAGUGGCUAACCUAGAGGACAUGGUUCAUGUGUGUGUUUGUAUCUGUGGGAGUCUUGCUUGUGAACUUGUGUGUGUGGAAUGCCUCGGUCAGCCACAGUGGUAGCCAGCUGACCUCAGUGUGGUUGGUCCAGCACUUGACCACACGCUCCUCCAUACAUGGCCUGGAGCUCUGGAACCUGACUGGAACUGGGGCUAGGACAUGGGGUUGGGACUGGGACAAGGACUGGAACUAAGACAUGGGGUUGGGACUGGAACUGGGGCUAGGACAUGGGGUUGGGACAUGGGGCGGGGCCUAGGACUAGGACUGGGCCUAUGUUCACCUUAAACUGAAGUCCAACACCAUCAACCCAACCAUUUUGCACUUGUGUUGUUUUGAAAGCCGUGAAAACCUUUUAAAUGUUCAGUUGGUCCUGAGCUGGAAACAUAGCAGGACUAGAUAUGUCUCCUCUCAUUAGUCUUCUUCUUGUUUUCUUUCUGUUAAUUACACUUCCUGUCUUCAUGGUUGAACUAGGAAGUGGAUGUUUUGCUGAGUCACCUUCCCUGCAGAGAGAAUGAACUGAAGUUCUGUAACUUAACAUAAGACUAAUCAACUGGCAUGUGUGUGUGUGGUUUGUGUGCGUUUGGUUUUUGUGUGUGUGUGUGCGUUUAAGACAGCUGCGCUGUAUGUACAUUUUAUAAGAAUUAUGUUAAUAAACAUUCGGCUGGUAAAAAAAAGCAACCACUAUCAUCUA